UGUUUGGACUGUGCGAACACACUCGGCUGAAACUGGCGUUUCCUUUUACUUCAUCAUGUACCGACAGAGUGACACCUGAGUCAGAAUGGAGCAUCUACAGAAUGUGAAAAUUCUGAUUAAAGUCAUGGCUAUUGUUCUGCACUGUGGAGGUUCCUCGGCUGACACAACAAGAAGGCUGAGUGUCUUGGUGGGCACAGACGUGACUCUAGGCUGCCUGUUUGAUAAACUGUCCAAGCUGGUGGAGUGGAGCGCUCUCACCGUCGAGUGGAACAUGGUGGACCAACGUGCAGAAAAGAGCAUUGUGUACACUGUGGAGGAUGGUAGAGCGUAUGUGAGCAGAGAUGGCUCUGUGGUGGAUAAAAAGCGGUUGCUAGAAGGCGAUGCAUCUUUGCAGCUUCACAAUGUGACUGUGGGAGAUGAAGGCCUGUAUACCUGCAGGAUCAUCACACCUGUAGUCUACACAGAGACCACUGCACUGGAAGUGCUAGCUCGGCCCUCAGUGAUGCUCCCAGAAAAGGCAGCAGUGACAGAGGGGGAGGAGAGGACGAUACAGUGUGACAUUGCAGGUUUUUAUCCAGAGAAACUGACCAUGACAUGGUACAUCCAAAAUGGCUCCCGCACUGUCCAUGCUGGCGGAAGCCACCUCUCCCGUGUCUGCACUGAAAUGGCCAUCCACAACCCAGACGGCACCUACAGUAUUCGCAGUGGCAUCACACUGCACUCAUCAGCAGUGAAAGACAGAGAGAUACACCUCAUCUGCCAGGUGGAACACCAGACCUACAGUCGGGGCUACAACAGAUCUGUUACACUGACCGUUCAAGCUCCACCACAGCCCCUUUACAGUGCUGUCACACUGAUAGCUGUCACCAGUGUCAUCAGUUUGUUGCUGGUUACCUCUGUUAUUGGAGGCACUUUACUUCUCUACAGGUAUUUUUGUAAAGCUCUUCCAAGUGUUUCUGACAUCAGCCAACCCAGCAUCAUAUACGCUCAGGUGCCGUUCAACCUCAAAUGCUCCAUCCAAGGGGCAAGACAGCGAGAGCUCAAAGUGAAGUGGUUUAGAUUAAAUGGCAGUGUGGACGCAGUGGUCCAGUCAGAAUCCGUUGCUCUGUUCGGCAACGAGGAUCUAAGUGAACACGCUUGUCUCCAGUCAGACGGCAGAAACCACACAUCUGUCCUGACUGUGUGUCUGACAGUCACUGAAGACCGGACCAAAUACCAGUGUGUGGUACUGUGCAGGGGCAAGAGCUUCAGCAAAGAGACCACAGUCCAGGUAAAAGUGGAGCCGUCUUUCCUCCAGAUCUCCAGCAUCCCUCAGAUCCCCAAGGUGGAGAAGAUGCUGGUUCUAUGCUGUCGGGUGGAGAACUUCUACCCCCAGGAUGUGGAAAUGGAGUGGUCCAGGAACGACGGGGAGCAAGUCCGCAAAGUCACACACUUUGGACCUUUCUCCGAUCACAACAGCCUCUAUAGCGUGUGGAGUAAGAUCCAGCUGGUCAUGGCGAGAGAGGAUGAGAGGGCCAUCUACACCUGCCGUGUUUACCACUCCAGCUUCUCUGCUCCGGGCUACAAAGAUGUCCUGUACCACAUCAACACUCAAG